rnacentral:rRNA from 1 species
AUAUCAAUAAGCGGAGGAAAAGAAACCAACAGGGAUUGCCCUAGUAACGGCGAGUGAAGCGGCAACAGCUCAAAUUUGAAAUCUGGCCUCUUUUGGGGUCCGAGUUGUAAUUUGCAGAGGGCGCUUUGGAGUCGGCAGCGGUCCAAGUUCCUUGGAACAGGACGUCACAGAGGGUGAGAAUCCCGUACGUGGUCGCUAGCCUUCGCCGUGUAAAGCCCCUUCGACGAGUCGAGUUGUUUGGGAAUGCAGCUCUAAAUGGGAGGUAAAUUUCUUCUAAAGCUAAAUACUGGCCAGAGACCGAUAGCGCACAAGUAGAGUGAUCGAAAGAUGAAAAGCACUUUGGAAAGAGAGUCAAAAAGCACGUGAAAUUGUUGAAAGGGAAGCGCUUGCAGCCAGACUUGCCUGUAGUUGCUCAUCCGGGCUUUUGCCCGGUGCACUCUUCUAUAGGCAGGCCAGCAUCAGUUUGGGCGGUUGGAUAAAGGUCUCUGUCAUGUACCUCUCUUCGGGGAGGACUUAUAGGGGAGGCGACAUGCAACCAGCUCAGACUGAGGUCCGCGCAUUUGCUAGGAUGCUGGCGUAAUGGCUGUAAGCGGCCCGUCUUGAAACACGGACCAAGGAGUCUAACAUCUAUGCGAGUGUUUGGGUGUCAAGCCCGAGCGCGCAAUGAAAGUGAACGGAGGUGGGAACCCCUCGGGGCGCACCAUCGACCGAUCCUGAUGUCUUCGGAUGGAUUUGAGUAAGAGCAUAGCUGUUGGGACCCGAAAGAUGGUGAACUAUGCUUGAAUAGGGUGAAGCCAGAGGAAACUCUGGUGGAGGCUCGCAGCGGUUCUGACGUGCAAAUCGAUCGUCAAAUUUGGGCAUAGGGCGAAAGACUAAUC